UCUGGCAGCUUCUGGCGUGGAAGCGACUACACAAGGCACGGAACCAAGGAAAAGGUGCAUUAUGGGACCAUAGCGAGUAGAGAGCUUGUGAAGAGCCUGGUGAGGUAUUGGAGCCAGAAGGUGGAGAUGUCCAAUGAUGGGUAAGGCUUGCGGACUUGGUGGUCUAUUAUUAGUCUUGUUUUGUUUUCUGCUGAAUAUGGCUCGAACCACGAUUGCGGAGACUAAAAAUGUGAUGAAAAGAAGGAUGUAGUGUUGGUAAUCAGCCAUGUUUGAUUUGAAUGUUUCGCAAGUAAGUGAAAUAUGCUGGUUAGCAACGUAUAUAAGGAAAAUAUGAUGCUUAAUUUGUAGUUUAUGUUUGCUGCUCUUAUCUGUUUUCGAAAUGGACAUUUAUAUGUCGCUGGCCGGCAUCGUAUCAGUUCUCAGACAAAGACAUUGUGACCAAGUCCAGCCUCAAAUAAAAUUGUCACCUGGUGGGUGGUCUUUGUCUGUUCUUUGAGACAUCAUAGCUUUGCAUUUAUAUUUCCACAUGUUAAAAGUGACUGAUAUAUAGUUUUAACUUUCUGAGAAUUCUGUAUGCUUUCAUUUUUCUUGCACCUCUCUUUUAUCAGCUUAGCUUGAAACUGAAUACUAUGAUGUUUGACAGAUUUAUUAACAGUGUCCAUCGGCAUCUGAAUCACACUUUUGCAUGGAUUAUUUUCUACUUUCGCGAACCUUAUGAAUAGUACAGAAUUAUGACAAGCUCAUCAAAAUUAAAUCCUAUGAAGAAUAUUUCGUAUUGGUUUAAUCUGCUAAGGCUGACAUUUUAUUUGCGUGUAUUAUAAGUUGGAUUGCAUCACACGAAAGUAGGACAUGGAUAAUCAAG
rnacentral:lncRNA from 1 species